AGCAUGUGGUUUAAUUCGAAGCAACGCGAAGAACCUUACCAGGUCUUGACAUCCCGAUGCUAUUUCUAGAGAUAGAAAGUUACUUCGGUACAUCGGUGACAGGUGGUGCAUGGUUGUCGUCAGCUCGUGUCGUGAGAUGUUGGGUUAAGUCCCGCAACGAGCGCAACCCCUAUUGUUAGUUGCCAUCAUUCAGUUGGGCACUCUAGCGAGACUGCCGGUAAUAAACCGGAGGAAGGUGGGGAUGACGUCAAAUCAUCAUGCCCCUUAUGACCUGGGCUACACACGUGCUACAAUGGCCGGUACAAAGAGUUGCGAAACUGUGAAGUUAAGCUAAUCUCAUAAAGCCGGUCUCAGUUCGGAUUGUAGUCUGCAACUCGACUACAUGAAGUCGGAAUCGCUAGUAAUCGCGAAUCAGAAUGUCGCGGUGAAUACGUUCUCGAGUCUU
rnacentral:rRNA from 1 species